ensembl:lncRNA
AGACUUGCUCUUCCUGAAGGACAAUGUAAAGACCGACAUAGAUAGAGGAAAAGAAAGGAGAUUGGAAGAGGACAACAAAUCAAGGCAGCUAGAAGUGGAGAGACAGAGAGAAUUGAAAACUGUGAGACUGAAAGAAGAGGAGAGCAAGAGGAAAGCCAUGAUGGAAAAACUGAAAGAGGACGAAAGGAGGAAGAGAUGGAUGGAAGCAGAAAUGGAGAGAAAGGAACAGGAGGAGAGGCUGAGAGAAAAGGAAAGGGCCAAACUAAGAGAAGAGGAGAGAAAGAAAAAAGAGAUGCAAGAGAAGACAAGGAGAGAGCUGGAGCAGAUAACACAAAGAGAGAGGGAGGAGAAGGGGAAGAAAGCCAAAGUGGCCAAGAAAUUAAUCCAGGCAUGUGACAGCGAUGACAUUGACGUAGAGAGCUUGAGUGAUGAAGAUAUGUGGAAGGAUAAGGAGCUCCCAAUGGACCAAGAGAAAAGGCAGACAAAAGACGAAAAGGAACAUGCAUGGCUACAGGAAAAACACAACAAAGAGAAGGAAAAUGAGAAUCCAAGUGACUCCAAGACUGUGACUAAUUCAAAUAGUUUGUGGAUGCAUAAGGCCAAGAGCCCAAAGCUGUCAGUCAGCAAUGUAUGGACGAUCCAGCAAUAUGAUAAUACAGAGACUGAUCAUGUCAUACAAGGUCAUUCUGAGGUAGGAGAAACACUUGUGAUGACACUCAGUAAUGAUGAUAUGAAUACAUGGACCCAGCUAAAGGCAAAAACAGAUGAAGAGGAUGCAGAGAGAGAGAAACAGAGGCAGAUGGACGAAAAGAGGAUGAGAGAUGUGGACAACGGAGGAAAGAAAAAAGAGAGAAAAAAGGGGGAGAUGGUAGCACAGAAAGAAAACAAGACACUCAGGAUGAGCGGAGACUUAGAAAUAGUCCAAAAGAUAGAGGAUGAAAGAAAGAAAAAAGAGAUGGAGAAAGCAGCACAGAAGGAGCAAAAAGAGGACGAGAGGAAAAAGAAAGAGAUUGAGGAGAAGAAAGAAGUGAGAGAAAGGGAGGAGAUGAGAAAGACUAAAGAGGUGAUGAACAGGAGGGGGGAGGCUCUGUCAGGAGACAGCGAUGACAGCGACUGGGCGACUGACUCCGAUGACUUGUGGAUGGAUGAGUUGGAGAGACGGGAAACAGAGAGAAAGAGAGAGGAGAUUGAGAAAGUGAGAGUUGAGACAGAGCAAAAAAGAGAAGAACAGGAGAAAAGGAUGGAGGAGAUGAUGAUAGCAGAGAUGGUGAGAAAGAAAGAGGAGAUGGAGAAAGCAGCACAGAAGGAGCAAAAAGAGGACGAGAGGAGAAAGAUAGAGAUUGAGGAGGAGAAAGCAAGAGAGGAGGCAAGAAAAGUGAGAGAAAAGGAGGAGAUGAGAAAGACUGAAGAGGUGAUGAACAGGAGGGGGGAGACUCUUUCAGGAGACAGCGAUGACAGCGACCGGGCGACUGACUCCGAUGACUUGUGGAUGGAUGAGUUGGAGAGACGGGAAACAGAGAGAAACAGAGAGGAGAUUGAGAAAGUGAGAGUUGAGACAGAGCUGAAUAGACAGAGACAGGAAAGAGGGAUAGAGAUUGAGAGAGCUAAAGCAGAGAUGGUGAGAAAGAGAGAGGAGAUUGAGAAAGUGAGAGUGGUGAUGGAGCGAAAAAGAGAUGAAGUAGAAAUUCAAAUACACAAAGAAAUGGAGAGGGAGAGACAUGAAGACCCGAGGCAAAAAGGAGAGGAGAGACAAGAGGGAAGUGAGAAAAUACAGGAGGAGACCUGCAAGCCAUGGAAGUCCAUGGGACUAUCCUUUGAAGACACUGAGGAUAGAUCAGAAGAAGACUGGAAGGAAACUGAGGAGGAGAUGAACAGGAGGGGGGAGGCUCUCUCAGGAGACAGCGAUGACAGCGACGGGGAGACUGACUCUGAUGACGUGUGGAUGGAUGAGGUGGAGAAACAGGCGAAGGAGGUGGAGCAAAUGAGAGAGGAGAUUCUAAGAAACGAGGAAGUGGAGAGAAGGAGAACAGAGAUGGAAAGAUACAAAGAAAUGGAAAGAGAGAAACAGGCGAUAGAGAAAAGAAGACAGAAUAUUGAGAAAGUGAGAGUGGAGACAGAGCGAAAAAGAGAGGAACAGGAAAGAAGGAUAGACAUGGAGAGAGCUAAAGCAAAGAUAGUGAGAAAGAGAGAGGAGAUUGAGAAAGUGACAGUAGAGACCCAGCAAAAAAGUGAGGAGGUAAAAAUGGAAAUACACAAAGACAUGGAGAAGGAGAGAGAUAAAGACCAGAGACAAAAAGGAAAGGAUAGACAAGAGGGAAGUGAUAAUUCAGGAAAAGAAAAGAAGGAGAAGAUGGAGAAGAAGGAGGAUGAGAAAGUGAAUGAGCCCCAAACGAGAGACAAGAGGAACUCAGAUAUGAUGUGGAAAAUUGAGGAGGAGACCUCCCAGCUGUGGAAGUCCAUGGGACUAUCCUUUGAAGACACUGAGGAUGGAUCAGAAGAAGACUGGAAGGAAACUGAGGAGGCCAGUGUAGACCUAGACUUGCUCUUCCUGAAGGACAAUGAAAAGACUGAAAUAGAUAGAGGAAAAGAAAGGAGAUUGGAAGAGGAGAACAAAUCAAGACAGCUAAAAGUGGAGACACAGCGAGAAAUGAAAACUGUGAGACUGAAAGAAGAGGAGAGCAAGAGGAAAGCCAUGAUGGAACAACUGAAAGAGGACGAAAGGAGGAAGAGAGGGAUGGAAGCAGAAAUGGAGAGAAAGGAACAGGAGGAGAGGCUGAGAGAAAAGGAAAGGGCCAAACUAAGAGAAGAGGAGAGAAAGAAAAAAGAGAUGCAAGAGAAGACAAGGAGAGAGCUGGAGCAGAUAACACAAAGAGAGAGGGAGGAGAAGGGGAAGAAAGCCAAAGUGGCCAAUAAAUUAAUCCAGGCACGUGACAGCGAUGACAUUGACGUAGAGAGCUUGAGUGAUGAAGAUAUGUGGAAGGAUAAGGAGCUCCCAAUGGACCAAAAGAAAAGGCAGACAAAAGACGAAAAGGAACACGCAUGGCUACAGG